rnacentral:rRNA from 1 species
UGCGAUACUUGGUGUGAAUUGCAGAAUCCCGUGAACCAUCGAGUCUUUGAACGCAAGUUGCGCCCAAAGCCAUUAGGCUGAGGGCACGCCUGCCUGGGUGUCACACAUCGUCACCCCCCCGCCCGCCACACUUAACUAAUUAAAUGUGUGCAGCAGGGGGUGGUGGAAGUUGACCUCCCGCGAGACGUCCUCGUGGUUGGUUGAAAAGCAAGUUCGGGACGGAGUCUCCCGCGAUAUCGGUGGAUGAGCCCACGCUCGAGACCAAUCGUGGCUUUGGGACUCCGGACGUAAUGGACUUACUGACCCCACACGCGCCCUCUGUGCGCCAUCUACGAGACCUCAGGUCAGGCGGGGCUACCCGCUGAGUUUAAGCAUAUCAAUAAGCGGAGGA